rnacentral:lncRNA from 1 species
AGCGGGUCAAUGCCAUUGCUUCAAGGAAGGGUUGUACUCCAUCACAGCUAGCAUUGGCCUGGGUCCAUCACCAAGGCAAUGAUGUUUGCCCCAUACCUGGCACUACCAAGAUUGAGAACCUCAAUCAGAAUAUAGGAGCUUUGUCUGUAAAACUGUCAGCCGAGGAAAUGGCGGAACUUGAAUCUAUUGCUUCUGCGGGAGUCAAGGGUGAUAGGUAUGGGCCUGGCCUUGGUACUUGGCAAACUUCUGAAACUCCACCUUUGUCAACCUGGAAGAGAACAUGAAGACAUACUUUGUUAUGGCAAUAAUUCCUUCUAGCUAUGUGCCUGAUGGUGGAUUCCACUAUAUUAAGAGUUGAGUGAUAUGUAUUUGUUCCAAUAAAUUUUGACAUACUAUUGUCUCUAGGGUUAAGGCAAGUAAAGUUAUAAGAAGAAUGGAGUUUCUUCAGAGAGGUUGUAAUGAAUAAUAUCUGGUCAUGUAAAAGCAGAAUAUAAUUUUCCUUGCAGUUGAAUGCAUUAAAGGUUAUAUAUUGUACUUUUGAAUGCUAUAGUGGUCCAUUUUUGAUGUGCUACUGCUACGAGAGUUAUAGAUUGUCGAACAGCAUUCAAUUCAGGACUUAUUAAACAUAAGCAUAUAAACAUUUUAUGCUCGGAAUAUUUACAUCAAAAGAAACUCCAAGGUCACAUCAUUGUAAAGUGUAAACUACAUCAUAUUAACAAAAAGCAAAAAAAAAGGUCUAAAUGAGGAAAAAAAUGUACUAUAGAAGAAGUCAACAAUGUCAUGUAAUCAUUUUAUCCUAAAACUGAGAUUAAAAUUUAGUUGAUUUGUAUUUUGAGUUUCAUCUUUGAUGGGAAAUGUAUCUCAGAACUUAACUCCAACAUUUGAUGUUUCCUACUUGGAGUAUUCAGUCCACCUUGAUGCAUUGAUCUUUCCCCUGAACUUGUGCCCGUCAAACAAUAUUUCUGAUCAUCUUGAAGUAAUUAGUACCAUCUGUUCAUUACUCCCUUCUGAUUUCUUGCAUUAUAGUUUCCUCUUUAAUGGGAAAUGUAUAUCAAGAUCUACCUUCUACAAUUGAGAUUUCUUAGAGUACUCAGUCCACCUUACUAGACUGUUCUUUUCCCUGAACUUUGUUCACUUCAAACAAUACUAUGAUCAUCUUGAAGUUAUUCGUAUUGUUGUCUUUUGUAGACGACACAUGCUUUACUGCCUUUUGAAUUUCUGCAUUGCAGUUGCUUAAAUUUUGAAAUUCAUACAAUUUAGAAUAUGCCAAGGUUUCAAGCAGAGAAUUUGGAGCACAACAAGAAGUUGUAUGAGCGGGCCACUGCCAUUGCUUCAAGGAAGGGUUGUACUCCAUCACAGCUAGCAUUGGCCUGGGUCCAUCACCAAGGCAAUGAUGUUUGCCCCAUACCUGGCACUACCAAGAUUGAGAACCUCAAUCAGAAUAUAGGAGCUUUGUCUGUAAAACUGUCAGCAGAAGAUAUGGAUGAACUUGAAUCUAUUGCAUCAGCUGGAGUCAAGGGUGAUAGAUAUGAUCCUGGCCGUGGUACUUUGGCGAAC